AAACCAUUUGGCGGGUUUUUCCGGCCACUCUGUUCUGCCACCGUCACUGAGAAGCUCAGCGGUAGCUUUUGGGAAGCAGGACGUUCUCACCAGGAGAGCGUCCUCUCGAGAUUUCUGCUCCCUCCAUUCAGGGCGUUUGGGAGCCACCCCUUCAUUUUUUAAAAAAAAUAUUUCUCUGUGACCGACGGCCGGGGCCUUCUGACGGUCUGAGGUCCUGCUUGGGUCAGUCACCUCCAGUCACGGUCCGCGGAGGGGGGAAGGAUAAGAGGGCGAGGAGCUCAUCGCUCGCCACCCCCGUGGGCUUCUUGGGCGCAGGUCGGAGCUGGGUGGGCCGGCUCCCCGGUCCCUGGCUUGGGCGACCAUGUCCGCAUCCGCCCAGCAGCUGGCGGAGGAGCUGCAGAUCUUCGGCCUAGACUGCGAGGAGGCUCUAAUUGAGAAAUUGGUAGAGCUUUGUGUUCAGUAUGGACAGAAUGAGGAGGGAAUGGUAGGCGAGCUUAUAGCCUUCUGCACCAGCACACAUAAAGUUGGCCUUACCUCAGAGAUCCUGAACUCUUUUGAGCAUGAGUUUCUGAGCAAAAGAUUAUCGAAAGCCAGGCAUAGUACCUGCAAGGACAGUGGCCAUGCAGGAGCUAGAGACAUUGUUUCCAUUCAAGAGCUAAUUGAAGUGGAAGAAGAAGAGGAAAUCCUCUUGAACUCUUACACCACACCUUCAAAGGGUUCUCAGAAGCGAGCUAUCUCUACCCCAGAAACCCCCCUAACAAAAAGGAGUGUGUCAACUCGUAGCCCCCAUCAGCUACUCUCACCGUCAAGUUUCUCUCCAAGUGCUACUCCCUCCCAGAAAUACAACUCACGAAGUAACCGAGGAGAAGUGGUUACCUCCUUCGGCUUAGCACAGGGAGUAUCUUGGUCUGGGAGAGGAGGAGCUGGAAACAUCAGCCUGAAGGUCUUGGGAUGUCCAGAGGCACUAACUGGGAGCUACAAAUCCAUGUUUCAGAAGCUCCCAGACAUUCGAGAAGUUCUGACCUGUAAGAUAGAAGAACUUGGCAGCGAACUCAAGGAACAUUACAAGAUUGAAGCUUUCACUCCUUUGCUAGCCCCAGCACAGGUAAGAGUUGUUCUAAUAGUUCUCACUAAUUAAUAUUACGUUUUUAAAUCGAUGACCAAGAGGCAUCCUUCUUGCUUCCUUUUUCACUUCUUGUCUGUGUUCUAGUUUGAACAUCUAUCUUGGUUGAAUUUGGGAAAAUGGGCCCUUCUGAAGAAAGAUUUGUAAGUGCUGUCUGGUUUUGUGGCCAGAGAGUGAUUUUCUUCCCACUUGGAUUAGAGUCUUGCACAUAAGCAGAGACUGAAGGCCUUGUUUCCCUUGGUGGUGAGUCAGGUAGCUCCCCGGGGAUUUCCCACAAAUAGAAGCAUUCACGUAUCGAGAUAAAAGGACAGCAGCGACAGUGGGGUUUUCAGAAUCUUGUUCUCUGGACAAUGACUCACAGUCUCUCCCCUGGUUU
rnacentral:sRNA from 1 species